rnacentral:rRNA from 1 species
AUUGAACGCUAGCUGGAUGCUUUACACAUGCAAGUCGAACGGAGUGGCGGACGGGUGAGUAAUAUAUCGGAACGUGCCCAGUAGCGGGGGAUAACUACUCGAAAGAGUGGCUAAUACCGCAUACUAUUUGAGCGGCAGAUAUCGGAUGAGAUCGUUGGGGGGGUAACGGCUCACCAAGGCAACGAUCAGUAGCUGGUGUGAUAGGACGACGAGUCACACUGGGACGGAGACACGGCCCAGACUCCUACGGGAGUCAGCAGGUGGGAAUUUUGGACAAUGGGGGAAACCCUGAUCCAGCCAUCCCGCGUGUAUGAUGAAGGCCUUCGGGUUGUAAAGUACUUUUGGCAGAUAAGCGGUAUCUGCAGAAUAAGCACCGGCUAACUACGUGCCAGCAGCCGCGGUAAUAC